rnacentral:rRNA from 1 species
GACGAACGCUGGCGGCGUGCCUAAUACAUGCAAGUAGAACGCUGAAGGAGGAGCUUGCUUCUCUGGAUGAGUUGCGAACGGGUGAGUAACGCGUAGGUAACCUGCCUGGUAGCGGGGGAUAACUAUUGGAAACGAUAGCUAAUACCGCAUAAUAGUAGAUGUCGCAUGACAUUUGCUUAAAAGGUGCAAUUGCAUCACUACCAGAUGGACCUGCGUUGUAUUAGCUAGUUGGUGAGGUAACGGCGCACCAAGGCAACGAUACAUAGCGGACCGGAGAUGGGGGUCGGCCACACUGGGACGGAGACACGGCCCAUACUCCUACGGGAGGCGGCAGUAGGGAAUCGUCGGCAAUGGACGGAAGUCUGACCGAGCAACGCCGCAUGAGUGAAGAAGGAUGUCGGAUCGUAAAGCUCGGUUGUAAGAGAAGAACGAGUGUGAGAGUGGAAAGUUCACACUGUGACGGUAUCUUACCAGAAAGGGACGGCUAACUACGUG